GAUGGCGACCGGCGCACGGGUGAGUAACACGUAUCCAACCUGCCGAUGACUCGGGGAUAGCCUUUCGAAAGAAAGAUUAAUACCCGAUGGCAUAGUUCUUCCGCAUGGUGGAACUAUUAAAGAAUUUCGGUCAUCGAUGGGGAUGCGUUCCAUUAGGUUGUUGGCGGGGUAACGGCCCACCAAGACUACGAUGGAUAGGGGUUCUGAGAGGAAGGUCCCCCACAUUGGAACUGAGACACGGUCCAAACUCCUACGGGAGGCAGCAUG
rnacentral:rRNA from 1 species